AUGGCAGUCUACACAUGCAGUCGAGCGGAACGAGUUGUCUGAACCUUCGGGGAACGAUAACGGCGUCGAGCGGCGGACGGGUGAGUAAUGCCUAGGAAAUUGCCCUGAUGUGGGGGAUAACCAUUGGAAACGAUGGCUAAUACCGCAUAAUGCCUACGGGCCAAAGAGGGGGACCUUCGGGCCUCUCGCGUCAGGAUAUGCCUAGGUGGGAUUAGCUAGUUGGUGAGGUAAUGGCUCACCAAGGCGACGAUCCCUAGCUGGUCUGAGAGGAUGAUCAGCCACACUGGAACUGAGACACGGUCCAGACUCCUACGGGAGGCAGCAGUGGGGAAUAUUGCACAAUGGGCGCAAGCCUGAUGCAGCCAUGCCGCGUGUGUGAAGAAGGCCUUCGGGUUGUAAAGCACUUUCAGUCGUGAGGAAGGUAGUGUAGUUAAUAGCUGCAUUACUUGACGUUAGCGACAGAAGAAGCACCGGCUAACUCCGUGCCAGCAGCCGCGGUAAUACGGAGGGUGCGAGCGUUAAUCGGAAUUACUGGGCGUAAAGCGCAUGCAGGUGGUUUGUUAAGUCAGAUGUGAAAGCCCGGGGCUCAACCUCGGAAUAGCAUUUGAAACUGGCAGACUAUAGUACUGUAGAGGGGGGUAGAAUUUCAGGUGUAGCGGUGAAUGCGUUGAUUACUGAUGGAAUACCGGAGUCCAAGGAUUUCUCCUGGACA
rnacentral:rRNA from 1 species